CUCGCUACUGGUGCGCCUAUCCGGCCUUCGCGGAGAUGGUCAGGUUCAACCGGGCGCACGAGGAAGCUAAAGUCCUGUCCUCCCAGCCAGGCCAGGAGAGCAAGGCCCUUGUUGCCAUCGGGAAGUACAAGUGGGACAUGCUGCAGGACCUAUACGAGGCUAAGGGUGCGGACAGGAUAAAAUAUGUCAGGAGCAUGAGGACGCAGACACCCG